AGAUCUCAGCUGGGGCUUGUCUGUAGUAGGGGUUUGCUUUUGCCCCACUGUAGCUAUUACUAAUCCAAACCAUUAUUGAUUGCAUACCAUCUCUUACAAUUUGCUCUAGUAGGAGGAUGUUUGUGUGCAGUCCUGCUGGCAUACCAGUGCUGAGGUGAAAGAUCACCUGAGGAAGGGGGACAGGCCUUCUGUUUUAACAAGAAACCAUAUCAGACUCCUAUUCAUCUUGCUUCCUGCCUCUGCUGUAUCCCUUCAAAAGCUGGGAUGUACAGAAUGCUAAAGCUGCAGCAUAAGCAUGAUUGAUACUUAUUGUGGGACUGUGGAAUUGCUACUCUCCUUUCUUCUCUUUAAAAAUCAGGGUGAACAUAUAGAAAGAUAUGCCAUGGACUUCAGGCCAACUUCUUUUCUACCUGAUCUCAACUGAAUCACCAAACACAAGUUUAAGUCAGAGGAAACCCUUCUUAUUGUAUUUCUCUUAUUUUCAUUCAGACCACAUUAUCUAAACUCAUGCGGAGUGAUUUCUAACCUGAACUGCCAUGCUUGCCUCUGGAGGAAAAAGGCCUCAGAAGCAUCUUGAUAAAUUGAUGUACAUCUAUGUAUGAUAUGCACUUUAUGCGAUGUAAGUAGGAAGAACAAGUGUAACUCAUGCAAAUUAUGACUCCUGAGUCUAAUCUAAAUUGGUGGAACCAUCAAUGCAACUGGACAGCUAGAAGGGGGAUGGAGUUGCUUAACGCAUCCAGGUGUCUUUGUUGCUGCAACUCAGCUACGAAGGACACAGCAUUAAGUGCAAAAUUUCUGGAUAAAGAGCUGUGGACCUGGUUCCUCUAAUGAAGAUUCUCAUUACAGAAAAUGCCUUCAUCUGAGUUGGAAAACAAAUACAAAAAACAGAACCUGUUCAACCAGGCUUGUGGAUAACACUGAUGAUGCUCUGUUUCGAUGAGAUGACAUAACUUACUGCCACAGCAGCCUCAGAAUCUUCUGUUCAUGUCUAAUGACGAGACAAAAUACAGCUCUGCCUUAUUAACUGAAACUUGCAUACAUCCAAAAUCAGCUUAAAUUUCUCAACAGAAAUCUUAGCAGCUCUGUGUACCAAACCUCUUUCUGUUGCCUGCUGACCUUCCAUACCUGCACAAAGAGCAAAGGGUGUGUUCUGUGGGAUGUGCACAUAGUAUGUGCCUCCCUGGAGAAGUGCACCAAGCCAACAGUGGUUGCCUCAGCUGUGGGGCAGAAGUGAGUGUUGGGAAGGGUGCUGUGGGGCUUGAGCCUUCCUUCUUACAGCCCCAAAUUGUAGUGGGUGGGCCAGACACUGCUGUUUAUAUGGACCUCUAGCAAAUUGCUGCUGCUCUGGAGCAAGGGAGAUGUAGGCUGAGUGCAUGACAAGAGACGUGUUCUGGCUAGCUUUAAGUGAGCUGUCUUCAGUGGUGUUAGCAGUACAGCCACAGGAGCACACAGCUCAGCAUAGGCAUUUACCAGCUAUUUUUUCACCCAGAUUUUUGGACAAACUCUGCUACUUGUUUUGUUUUCAACUUAAUAAAAACUAAUCCAAGCAGCCAGCUCCAUGUUACAAAUUCUGUCCUAUACUUAUGACAACUGUAAUAAUACGGGGGAAAAGAAAAGAAGAUUGGGAUUUACUCUAUUAAAUGAUUCAGCAUAUAUCUUCCUUGACUCAUGUUGUGUAGCUUUGGAUCAGCAUAAUUCAAGGCUUCAAAACCUACUCUAACUAUGGCUGUCUGGCAGCUCAAUUUCUGUACCUAAGGAGACAUACAAAACGCUGAAAAGAGAGGAGGUUGAGAAGAAAGCUUGUUCACAGUCAGUUCAGGUGGGCAGUUGCUAUGCACCAGGCUGGAGCUGCAGUUCCUUCCUGGAGGCAGCAGUCUCCUCCCUGGCCCAUAACUUUGU
ensembl:lncRNA